AGUGAACGCUGGCGGUAGGCCUAACACAUGCAAGUCGAACGGCAGCACAGGAGAGCUUGCUCUCUGGGUGGCGAGUGGCGGACGGGUGAGGAAUACAUCGGAAUCUACUCUGUCGUGGGGGAUAACGUAGGGAAACUUACGCUAAUACCGCAUACGACCUACGGGUGAAAGCAGGGGACCUUCGGGCCUUGCGCGAUAGAACGCGCGGAUGUCGGAUUAGCUAGUUGGCGGGGUAAAGGCCCAACAAGGCGACGAUCCGUAGCUGGUCUGAGAGGAUGAGCAGCCACACUGGAACUGAGACACGGUCCAGACUCCUACGGGAGGCAGCAGUGGGGAAUAUUGGACAAUGGGCGCAAGCCUGAUCCAGCCAUACCGCGUGGGUGAAGAAGGCCUUCGGGUUGUAAAGCCCUUUUGUUGGGAAAGAAAUCCAGCUGGCUAAUACCCGGUUGGGAUGACGGUACCCAAAGAAUAAGCACCGGCUAACUUCGUGCCAGCCGCCGCAGUAA
rnacentral:rRNA from 1 species